rnacentral:rRNA from 1 species
AAUCUUACCGGGUCCGGACACACUGAGGAUUGACAGGCAAUAUCUAAAUCGUUUUAAUUCUAAAUUAUAAUACGUAUUUAGUGUUAAAUAUGCUAGUCCUUUCAUGAUUAUGUGAUAGGUGGUGCAUGGCCGUUCUUAGUUCGUGGAGUGAUCUGUCUGCUUAAUUGCGUUUCACUAAGGGCCCAUAAAUUCAAGGUAUGUUAGCUAUCGUUUCUCAAUUGACCCCUUGUCUUCGAUAAGCGCGUGUCUUUUAGAGUUUAAACAUUGCGCAUGCUGUUGGGUCCUGAAAGCAACGAACGUGACCGCAACGUCUUAUUGCCUUUAUCUUGUUAUAUUCUAAUUUAAUUAGAAAUAACUAACAGAGGCUAAUUUAAAAUUAGACGGACCGCUGUACUUUUCUUAAACCAGAGGAAGGUUGCGGCAAUAACAGGUCUGUGAUGCCCUUAGAUGUUCCGGGCUGCACACGUGCUACAAUGAUCAGUACAGUGAGCAUCUCAAUAUUAUACACCGUAUUAAGCGCUUAGUUGCGAUUAUUGGCUCAUUAUUGGGUCUUUUAAUUG